rnacentral:tRNA from 3 species
GAAAAUCCGUUGGCUUUAUUGACCGUGAGGGUUCAAGUCCCUCUAUCCCCA